rnacentral:rRNA from 1 species
GGCGACCUACGGGACGCAGCAGUGGGGGAUAUUGCACAAUGGGGGGAACCCCGAUGCAGCGACGCCGCGUGGGUGAAGAAGCGCCUCGGCGCGUAAAGCCCUGUCAGCAGGGAAGAAAAUGACGGUACCUGAAGAAGAAGCCCCGGCUAACUACGUGCCAGCAGCCGCGGUAAUACGUAGGGGGCAAGCGUUAUCCGGAUUUACUGGGUGUAAAGGGAGCGUAGACGGUUCUGCAAGGCUGAAGUGAAAGCCCGUGGCUUAACAGCGGAACGGCUUUGGAAACUGUGGAACUGG